rnacentral:misc_RNA from 1 species
AAAGAAAGGCUAAAGUGCAAAUGGUACGAAAAGGAAAUCUUAGUUUUUUAGGACUUUAUAUGAACUAAGUCAAAUCUGCUUGCUGAUAAUGACUGUGAAGGUUCCAAAUCUUCUUGUGUUAUCUUCUUAGUCUCUUUAAGAAUUAAGAAAUAACUCUACAAAACAUGAAUCGACCAUAUUUCCUUUCAUCAUCUGAACCAUCUUGGACUAGUUUUUUGUGAUUGAAAUUU